CACCACGUGGCCCGUGGAUGGGGGAUGGGAGCCUGGAGAGUCCAAACCUGAGCUAGGGAGGAAAGAGACGGCCGAAGUGGUUCUCUGAGGAGACGUUAGCUGGGCCAGGAAAGGCACUGCAGGCAGCAGGUCAUCCCGGGCGAGGGAAGAACCUCCAGCAGGUCUGUUUGACCCAUCCAGGGUCUCUGGCUUGGCCAGGCUCCUGGGAACACAGUCAGCCCACUCCAGCCUGAACCUUAGAAAAAACCAUCCCCUUCCCCACCUACCAUAUUGCUCUGAGAGGCUGUUCUGAAAAAACCCUGGCCAGUCUCAGGCUUUCUGUCCUUCACGUUGGGGCCCUGAGAUCCCAGUCUCCUGGGCCCAGGGACACAGUAGAGGUGAAGAGCUCUUACCCAAGAAGGCCCCUGAAACUGCAUGCUCCUCCCACAUCUCCCAGGCGGCCCCGGAAACCAAGCCUGGCCACCCAAGAGGGGCAGGCCACAGCUCCCACAGAUGGUAGUGUGGCCAGCCUCUCUCCCCAGGGCCCACCCCUGCCAGGAAGAAACGGAACAGCCCAGCCUGACCUUGUGGUUCUGCAGCCCAUCAGAGAGCUGAGGUCACGAGGCAAGCAGGGGAACCAAACUGCAGAGGUUGACAGGUCACUCCAAGGAGCGUGAGACACACGCACGGUUUCACCCGGGGCAGAGGGGAGGAAAGGACGCUGCCAAUACAGCAGCCACAACAAGAUGGCCACACCGUGGCAGGCGCCCAGGGCUCGUGAUCGCUCCCGGUGGGACUGAGUGGUUCACAGUGAGUCCAGGUCGGAGAACAGGCAGGUCCUAAAGGUCCGGAUUCAUGACCAGGUGCUGAAUUGACAUCAUCAGAUGGACUAACCGCCCUGGUGACAGAGUUGGUGCCGUUUCCCAGAUCCUCCUUGGGACAACCUUGCUAGUCACCCCUUCCUCCCUGCCCUCAGGGUCAACAGCCGGCCUAGCCAACCCGGGGUGGGAGGACGCCUGCUGCCUCCUGUUGCGGCAGACUCCCUCUCCCCUCUCUCUGCAGUCUCACUGGCAAAUGAGUAAGAAGAAUAGAAUUACAGUUGGGCUACACGAGACACAGAAUUAGCGGGAUUAAAUAAAAAU
ensembl:lncRNA